UUCUGGUUGAUCCUGCCAGAGGCGACCGCUUUGGGAGUUCGAUUAAGCCAUGCGAGUCGUGAGUCUUAGGGACUCGGCAUACUGCUCAGUAACACGUGGAUAACCUGCCCUAUCGUCUGGAAUAACCUCGGGAAACUGAGAAUAAGGCCGGAUAGUUCACAAUGCCUGGAACGGUUUGUGAAUCAAGGUAGGAUGGGUCUGCGGCGUAUCAGGUUGUAGGGGGUGUAAAGGACCCCCUAGCCUUCGACGCGUACGGGUGUUGGGAGACAUAGCCCGGAGAUGGAUUCUGAGACACGAAUCCAGACCCUACGGGGUGCAGCAGGCGCGAAAACUUCACACUGCAGGAAACUGUGAUGAGGGAACUCCUAGUGCAUGCACUAUGUGUAUGUAGAUCCUACUCUUAACAAGUAGAGGGAAAGGGCUGGGAAAGACCGGUGCCAGCCGCCGCGGUAAUACCGGCAGCUCAAGUGGUCGUCGCUUUUAUUGGGCCUAAAACGUCCGUAGCCUGUUUGGUAAAUCUGUGGGUAAAUCAACUUGCUCAACGGGUUGAAUUCUGCAGAGACUGCCAGACUAGGGACCGGGAGAGGUGUGGGGUACUCGAGGGGUAGGGGUAAAAUCCUGUCAUCCUUCGAGGACCACCAGUUGCGAAGGCGCCACACUGGAACGGAUCCGACGGUCAGGGACGAAGCCUAGGGGCACGAACCGGAUUAGAUACCCGGGUAGUCCUAGGUGUAAACGCUGUGAACUUGGUGUCGGGGGUCCGCAAGGGGUCCCCGGUGCCGGAGUGAAGAUGUUAAGUUCACUGCCUGGGGAGUACGGUCGCAAGGCUGAAACUUAAAGGAAUUGGCGGGGGAGCACUGCAACGGGAGGAGCGUGCGGUUUAAUUGGACUCAACGCCGGGA
rnacentral:rRNA from 1 species